rnacentral:rRNA from 1 species
GACGAACGCUGGCGGCGUGCUUAACACAUGCAAGUCGAACGAAGGGGCGAACGGGUGAGUAACGCGUAAGCAACCUGCCCUUCAGAGGGGGACAACAGGUGGAAACGACUGCUAAUACCGCAUACUGAAGGUGGGGAUGGCGGCUGAUUAGGUAGCUGGGGGGGAAAGGGCCAACCCAGGCGAUGAUCAGUAGCCGGGCUGGGAGGGUUGACGGCCACAUUGGGACUGGGACACGGCCCAGACUCCUACGGGGGGCAGCAGGGGGGAAACUUCCGCAAAGGAGGGAAGUCUGACGGAGCCACGCCGCGGGAGGGGUGGCGGCCUUCGGGUUGGAAAGCUCCGUUAAUCGGGACGCGGUACCGGAAUAGAAAGCCACGGCUAACUACGUGCCAGCCGCCGCGGUAAUAC